UCUUGAAGCAAAUGUUAUGGCAAGAGAAUCAGAGACAUGUUUGUAUAUUUGUCCCGCCCAUGGUCAUGGGCACCUGAAGAAAUAAAAGAGCUAUUAGAAUAAAGAAGUGAAUGUUUGUGUGCAAAGACGCCCCACAGGAUCUCCCCCUAUCUGUGACUUGGACCGUGGUCUGCACUUACGUGGGCGGUAAGCCAGAGACAGAAAACAUUUAAGGUCAUUUCAAAGGCAGUGUGCAAACGCAUCCUAAAAUGAACAUCUUCAGUUGAUGAUAUUAAUGCCACAGAGGAAAGUGCUGUGGGACCAACACUGGAAAGAGUAACUGCCGCAGUUUUACAAUUUGAAUGAUGAUGAUAUCAGUGACAACGAUGAAAUUUUGCAUCUCUUUUAAUAGACUAUGAAACAAUGUCACAGACCUUGUCAUUGUCAAAAGCAUCUUAAGGGAGAUGGUAGGGUUGGUCUUUGUGGGAUUUCAAACAGUUUAUGAAACUUUAAGUCUUUGCAGAGCUUUGAGUGGAAUCAAGGUAGGAAAAUCUAGGCCUUGAUCUUCUGGCAAACUGUGUAAUUUAUAAUUUAUAAUUUUAGAGAAAUUGUUGCCUUUCUGUACAAUUGUGUUCAAAAUGAUACAAUUUUAGGUUGAAUUAUUUAAAGUAAGUCGUAUCUUCUUACUCUAGCUAGAUUUGAAAGUUUUACCAUGGAUGUCGUCGACUUAGGAAGAUUUAUAACUGGAAGGAGCUUGACGUAGUUAUAGA
rnacentral:lncRNA from 1 species